UCCCAGGUGGCUCAGUGGUGUGAAGAAUCUGCCUGCCAAUGCAGAAGACAUGGGUUCGAUCCCUAAUCUGGGGA
rnacentral:tRNA from 1 species